AUAACACGUCACUAACAUCAUAGCCUACCAAAAUAUAGAGACACCAACCACAGUUAUAGGCUAGAAAAUAUAAGUCUUCCUCGUGUAUAUUACUAAUCGUGCAAUCAUAGUCAACAUCCAUGAAUUCAGGUGAAGCUACUUUACAGUGGUAAAUGUUGUGAAGUAUUUUAAAAUGCACUUCUUUGUUAACUUACACGUUUGACGUCAGCAAUCAAUAAGGAAGAAAUGGAAGGACGGAAUCCCGCCGACCAAAGAUGACACUGUGUCUAGUAGCCAAUCAGAGACGUUGGAUGAGUCACCGCUGAAACACGAAUACACGAGUGGAAUGAUAAGGAUGCAUGCGGAUACCUACGAGUCUGCAGUCCAGUGAUGUUUACACAACAAACAUAAAAAGUCAGGAGAACGUGGCAUAAGAAAGCAGUGAGCAGGAGUAUCAGCUGUGGUGGAUUGAGAUAAACAGGUGUCCGGCUCACCCUGUGGCUCUGCUGUAUUGAUCAGAAUGGCGGUCGGUGUGUUAGUGUGAGCUGAGGAUUGUGUUGCGUUCACAUGAACCGCAGCUCCACAGACCCCCUGACCUCCAGAGUGAGGUUUAUUCCAGCACCGCCUGCGGCUCCUGUCAUCUGCAGAGCCGGAGGGUAAAACUAGUGCAGAAAACUGCCUCGUCAAGCGGACAGACAUUUAAAAUGAAAAAGUUGCUUCAGUCUGAAGGGUGAUUUUGCCAAAGGCUUGACUUCAGAAUGCAUGCAGAGAUAUUCCACAUCACGAACAGCUCCUCAUCAAGCAUUUAUCAUUUACACCAGGACGGUUUGAACUUUCUUAGAAUGUUUGGGAUUUCAUCAUUGAGGAACAAAAUGUUGACCUCAUGACAUCAUUUAAUUCCUGUCUCUGUAUUGAGUAGAAGGCACCUUUAAGGUGUGCACUUAAAAUGAUGAAGAGGGGCUUUUCUUUUAAUACACAUUUAAUGGCUGAGCCGAGGGACUACAUUUUUAGUAAUUAAAGUACAAAAGGCGCUUUCAAAAUGCAAAAUAAAAGUGUCAACUGAAGGGUGAGCAGUAAAAUAUAGAGGACAAGCCCCAGUUCCUGUGAGGUUUACAAUAUUCCAAAUAAAAAUGUAUGUGUGUACAUACGUAGGGAUAUAUAAUAUCUGAACAAGAUACAAUAUUGUUAUGAUUCUCACAUCAUGAUACAAUAUUAUUGCGAAUAGUCUUUCAAAUUAUUAUUAUCUUUGUGAGUAUUUAUAUACAGCCAUAUAUGGACACCUAUAUCAAUUGUUGUCAUGAACUGGACAGAAUACAGAGUCAGAAUUUGCUCAAACACAAAGUUUAUUAAUAAACAAAGGCAGCUGUGGAC
ensembl:lincRNA